GGUUAAGCGACUAAGCGUACACGGUGGAUGCCCUGGCAGUCAGAGGCGAUGAAGGACGUGCUAAUCUGCGAUAAGCGUCGGUAAGGUGAUAUGAACCGUUAUAACCGGCGAUUUCCGAAUGGGGAAACCCAGUGUGUUUCGACACACUAUCAUUACGUGAAUACAUAGCGUAAUGAAGCGAACCGGGGGAACUGAAACAUCUAAGUACCCCGAGGAAAAGAAAUCAACCGAGAUUCCCCCAGUAGCGGCGAGCGAACGGGGAGCAGCCCAGAGUCUGAAUCAGCAUGUGUGUUAGUGGAAGCGUCUGGAAAGUCGCACGAUACAGGGUGAAAGUCCCGUACACAAAAGUGCAUGUGUUGUGAACUCGAAGAGUAGGGCGGGACACGUGGUAUCCUGUCUGAAUAUGGGGGGACCAUCCUCCAAGGCUAAAUACUCCUGACUGACCGAUAGUGAACCAGUACCGUGAGGGAAAGGCGAAAAGAACCCCGGCGAGGGGAGUGAAAAAGAACCUGAAACCGUGUACGUACAAGCAGUGGGAGCA
rnacentral:rRNA from 1 species